rnacentral:rRNA from 1 species
GAUGAACGCUGGCGGCGUGCCUAACACAUGCAAGUCGAGCGAUCUUCUUCGGAAGAGAGCGGCGGACGGGUGAGUAACGCGUGGGUAACCUGCCCUGUACACACGGAUAACAUACCGAAAGGUAUGCUAAUACGGGAUGAUAUAUGAAAGUUGCAUGGCUUUUAUAUCAAAGCUCCGGCGGUACAGGAUGGACCCGCGUCUGAUUAGCUAGUUGGUAAGGUAACGGCUUACCAAGGCGACGAUCAGUAGCCGACCUGAGAGGGUGAUCGGCCACACUGGAACUGAGACACGGUCCAGACUCCUACGGGAGGCAGCAGUGGGGAAUAUUGCACAAUGGGCGAAAGCCUGAUGCAGCAACGCCGCGUGAGCGAUGAAGGCCUUCGGGUCGUAAAGCUCUGUCCUCAAGGAAGAUAAUGACGGUACUUGAGGAGGAAGCCCCGGCUAACUACGUGCCAGCAGCCGCGGUAAUACGUAGGGGGCUAGCGUUAUCCGGAAUUACUGGGCGUAAAGGGUGCGUAGGCGGUCUUUCAAGCCAGAAGUGAAAGGCUACGGCUCAACCGUAGUAAGCUUUUGGAACUGUAGGACUUGAGUGCAGGAGAGGAGAGUAGAAUUCCUAGUGUAGCGGUGAAAUGCGUAGAUAUUAGGAGGAAUACCAGUAGCGAAGGCGGCUCUCUGGACUGUAACUGACGCUGAGGCACGAAAGCGUGGGGAGCAAACAGG